CCAGAAUUUAGAUUCUAGGCUAGUGAUAUCAGCAAGUCAGUUAACCAACCAAUGUUCACUGGGAUCAUAUAACCACCAUAUCUGCUCUCAAGACAGAGGGAAAAGAAGAAAGGGUGUCGUUCCCAGCACGGGGUUGCAUGAGUAACAGACAGACACUCCAACAAAUACACAAGGGAAGAAAAAGGAAAGGCAGAGGAAGGAAGGAAGAAAUCAACCCAGGGUUGAAAUAACCUGAGGAUCUUCUCUAAGACCCAUUGCCACCUGGAUAAUUGAGAUGUGUCCUUUAAAGGGUCAGAGCCUGAUGUGCUCAAGAAGGUAGGGUGGGAACUGGGUAUAAGAGGUUCAUCUGUGACCCUCCCAGACGGAGGUCUCAGAGACAAAGGAUCUGUGUAUCCUACCUCAGGAGAGGGUGCCAGUCUCUGUUUAGAUAUUUAGUACUGUACUAAGUGUGUGCUUGAUUUCAGAAAGAAAAAUAAAUAAAUCAAGGCUGCCGCUGCUGCCUAGCUUCUCCA